CACCUCCUUCAGAAGCUCCUCAAAGCCCAUGCCGUCCUCCUGGGCGAGGGGCCGUGGCCGUCGGGCACCCGCUCCUUACACCCACUGCCUGGACCCUUGGACUCUGGGGGACUUUUUUCAGCGCCAGCAACCUGAGUUUUUGGGACACUGUUCUCUCCUGGUUCUCAUCCUGAGUCUGGAUCUUCAUGCAAGCCAACAUGUCUGGAAUUCUCUCUUCAUCUCUUCUUCCUGGCUUCCCUGGCUUCCUUUACGUCCUAGCUAAAACCCCAUUUUUGCAAGAAAUCUUUCCAGAUCCCCUCACCCUCACACCUUUCCUGUGCUGAAUAAUCUCUAAUUUAUCCUGAAUCUCGCUUGUUUGUACAUCGUUAACUGCAUGCUGUCCCUUCCAUUAGGCUGUGAGCUCCCUGAGAGCGAGGACUGUCUUUUUGCCUUUCUCCCAGUGCUCAGCACAGUUAAUAAAUGUUAACGGACUGACUGAUUUGGUCCCUGAACUGACA